UUCCCAGAAGCCCCUGCGCCGCGCGUGCGCAGUCGCGUCAGCAGCAUGGCCGCAGGCAGCAGUGUGGAGUGGCUGAAGAGUGUGAAAGCAGGGAUUUGAGACACGUGUGGAGUUCUGAGAGGGAGGAGGACAGGCCAUACACGGAUCUGGAGAAGGGCCGAGCGUGAGAGCAGACGCUUACAUGCACGACCUCGCGGCCGCCGUACUGACCGAUCACUGACCGAUCAGGACACGACACUCGUGAUUGAUGACGCACUGACUGUGAAGCUGCACUGACACAUGAAGAAAACUGUGAACAUGUGCAAUGCAUUAUAAAGAAUAUCUCGUGAUGUUUGCUGGCGCUCCGGUGAAUCUGCUUCAUGCGGUUUGGUGUCGGAGCUUCGUUCAGGACAAUAGCGUGAUGCUGGCAGACAUGAAGCGCUGCAGAACAAACAGCAUCACGGAGAUCUGGAGCAGAGGUCGAGGCACACAGACGUCUUUGUGUUUCUUACAGCGGCGCUCGUUUCACAUCACGCUCCAGUCUCACUGUGCUCUUCCAGUCGAGGUGUAAUAAAGCUCUGAUGCUGAUGUAAAGCAGACGCUUCUAUUCUAACGCAGCAGAUUCUCCAGGCUCGUUUACGAUCAUAUCUGCUCAUCUAAACAUUAAGGCCACUUUUAACCCUCGCACAUAAAGCUACAGUGAAAUA
rnacentral:lncRNA from 1 species